CUCAAUGGACAUGAGUUUGAGCAAGCUCCGGGAGUUGGUGAUGAGCAGGGAAGCCUGGUGUGCUGCAGCCCAUGGGGUCACAAGGAGUCAGACAUGACUGAGCGACUGAACUGAACUGAAGGAAAAGUGAGGCACUGAUGAGCUGACCCUUGGGAAUUAGGGUGAGACGCAGGCAGGGUUAAGGAGGAAAUGUCAUCAGUGUCUGGGAACACGGACCUUGUACUUUUUGCCUUGAGCAUACUCAAAGAGGGAGGAAGAGGGUCUGGAGAGCAAGGCAGUCUGUUCUCACCAUGAGUCCCUUUGAAGCCCAAGACCAGACUGACGGGGAAGGAAAGGGGAGGAGGGGAGGUGGGGAGGGGUGUAGCCGGGCUCCUCUUGUCAACAUUGGCAUCUAGAGGAAAGUCACGACCUUGGGUGCAGAAAUGGUCCUUGGGUGUUGAUUUCAGUUUGAGGUUGAUGUGAUACUUGGAGCUUAUUUGGCACCCUUAUCAGUGCUUUUGGCAUAAUUUAAGUCAUCGGAAGGAUUUUUUUCUUCAAUGUUCUAGCAGGUUUAGAAGCUUGUGAAAAAGAUCAGUUCUGCUUUUAGAAGGAUAAAAAUACUGCAGUGAUGGAGAGCUGCCUCAUGCCUGACAGGCAGGUGUGACAGCCACUGUCUGCACUGGGGCAGGGGCUCCUCUGCCAGUGAGCUUCUGUACUGACCAACUGUGCAACACGGGAGUGUGUGUACAUGGUGUGUGUGUGUAUAUGGUAUGUGUGUGUACAUAGUGUGUGUGUGCACACACUGUGUGUGUGCAUGGUAUAUGCAUGUAUAUAGUGUGCGUGCACACAGUGUGUACAUGGUGUGUGUGUGUACAUGGUAUGUGUGUGCACAUGGUGUGUGCAUGUACAUGGUGGGUGUGGACAUGGUAUGUGAGUAUAUGGUUUGUGUGUAUAUGGGGUGUGUGUACAUGCUGUAUAUGUGAAUGGUGUGUGUGUAUAUGGUGUGUAUAUAUCCAUGGUGUAGUGUAUAGUACAUGAUAUAGUGUAUAUACAUGUGGUAUGUGUAUAUACAUGGUGUGUGUGUACACAUGUAUAUACAUGGGAUGUGUACAUGUGUGUACAUGGGAUAUGUGUAUAUGUGUUUUACAUGAUGCAUGCACAUGAUGUGUAUACACACCCAUGUAUGGCAUGUGUGUACCUGGUGUGUGUACAUAUGUGUAUACACGGUGUCUGUGCCCUGUGUACAUGGUAUGUGUGUGCACACGGUGUGUGUACACAUGCGUGCACGUGGUGUGUGCAUGUGUGUGUGUGUGUGUGCAUGUUGGAGGUGCAUAGUACAUUGUUCUCUUGAUAUCACAGCUGCUCUGAGCACCCAGCCCAGGAGUCCUGGCUCCAGGGGGCUGUCAUUCCCGAUGACCCAUAGAGCCUGGUGACAGGAAAUGAUGUCACUGCAGUGUGCCAGCUGUGUUGUCUGGGACCCUAACCCACUGAGAAUCAGCAGUUCUCACAGUGUAAACAGAGGCAGGCCUGCUCCCAGGGAGGCUGAGGUCAAGGUUCCUCUUCACAGGGGCUGACCGGGCUCUGUACCUAGCAGCCUUUAGAGGCUUUCUGGAGCAUUCCAAGAGUGGGCUCUGGCUCAUUGAAAAUGAUCACAGGCUUGAGCAACCAGGCCCAGAAUGUUAACCGUGGGGUGGAUGCUCUUUUGGGUGCCCCUUCCCUGCAGAUGCACUGGGAUGCACACAGGGUCCUCAGUCUACGUGAAUGAGGAUGGCGGCCCAGCUGUCCGUCUUCAGGUGACAAGGUCACUGUCGGGUGGCUUGCGGCUCACCGGGUGCGUUUUGUGCCUGUUGCAGCUGCAGCCCCUGCCUGCUGGAAGGGCGCCCCACCUCCUCUGGAUGCCCUUCAAGCACAUGAUCUUGUUCUGUCUUCACAAACACCCUGAAGGUCAAGGCAGCCUCAUCCCAAAGCUUGUGGCAAGGCAGCGUGAGGACAAGAUAGUGACCCUGAGAAAGACAAUGCAGGGACAUCCAGACUCUGAGAGACCUCUCACUCGGGCUGCCUGCCCACUGUGCGCACUGCCUCCCACACUGGAUCCAGCACUCCAGAAACUGGAAUGUGUUUCAAUCUGUGGUCAAGAUGAAUCUCACACACUUAAGGGUGUGAUUGAACUGGCCACUGAAAUGCCUGCAGUCCACAGAUGCCUCCCUGAAUGGCAGGAGUGAGUGAAGUCAUCAAGCCAGCAAAGGAGAUUUCGAAGAUGAUGGAGCUUGUGCUAUGGGCUGAAUUGCUCCCUGCAGUCAGGCACACUGGAUAACACUGGCAAGUACAGGGAACCUUUACACUCUCUUCCAGAGGUGACUGACCAAUCAGAACACGACUCGUCCUCUCCUGAGUCACCGAGGCAGCCCCUCUAGCCCACACAUGCCUUCUCUGUGUCUCCCCCUACCCCACUUCCCUCUCCCAUCAUUCAUCCCAUUUCCCCUUCCUGGUUCCCAAGCAUGGAGAAGGAUACAGAAGGAUUCCAUGCUCACCAGGUCAGACAGUCCUUUGAUUGCUGUAAUUUUCGCAUCCCAUGAUAUCGACAUUAAUUGUCAUCCAUUGAGUAGGAAUGUCUGCCUAUGUCUCUACCUCUCAGCGGAGAAAAUAUGCAGUCAAUGAGCUCAGUUCUGGGCAGUGGGGGAUCACUGAUAUGUGUGGCAUGAGGCAAUGCCCUGGGGUUACGCAAGUUUUGUUUGGCAGACCUAGAAAAUGUGUCACUUGACGAUUCUGUGAGUCUGCUGUGCAAAAUGUUACCAUUAAAAAAUAAUUGAAGGCACACAUCCACUUGAGAACAAUGAUCUAGGUUUAUUGCCUUUAUAAUCUGCUUGGGCUCCCUUGUUUCUUUUUAGUUGUCAGGGUUCAGAACCAACUGAAAAACAUCUCUUUGAAAUGAAAGACCUGCUUCAGAUUGAGACAAGAUUCUGGGCCAGGCUCUGCAGGUCGGUGAUCUCAACCUCAGUGUUUGCUGGGAGCAUUGUGUCUGCAGAUGCAAUUCCAUGUCUCCGGCCCUUAUGUCAGGACCUUUGGUUGUUUUGGUAGGAGCCCGCCCCUUAACCUCAGCUGACAUUUGAUUCAGCAGGAGAGCCCCACGUGACUCACAGUUGGAGAAGUCUAAGUUUUUCUUUCCUCAUGGGAAACUGAGGCCAAGAUGGUGGGAAGCCUGUGCAUGGCCAUUCUCUAGCCAUGAGCACAGCCAGUCGUGAGCCCCAGGUUUCCUCCUGCCACUGUGCUCCCUCCUUUCCAGAGGUCUCCACUGGAAGCUCCAAGGCCGAUUAUCUUUCUUUCCAUAUUUAAUUGCGUGGCACAUAACCAGCUCCUUUAAACUUAUCAUGAAAAAACCUGUACUGGAGAUGAUGUAACCAGGCUUCGUGCCCACAUGAGCUGCACAGGAGAGUCUGAGAAGGACCUUGGACUGGAGAAGGACCCCUGGGAAAGCUGCAAGACAGCAGCUCUCAUCACUUCCAGAACAUUCUUUCUCAGAACACUGCCUCUUGUAAAUGUUUGCCGGCUGAAAAGUAUAGCUUCUCCGUAAUGUUCAUGUAGGAGUUAUCUUCAGAGGGAAGUGGUCCCCUGGGUCUGGCAGGGAUGCUGCUGGUGUGGGCAGUGUGAGGGUGGGCGUGUUCAUUUCCCAUGGCUGAUGGAAAUUACUACAAACUCGGUGGCUUAAAAACACACAAAUCUGUGGGUCUUCCCUGGAGGUUCAGAGAUUAGGGUUCCACACUUUCACUGGAGGGGGUAAGGAUCCAGUUCCUGGUUGAGGAACUAAGAUCCCGCAGGCCCUUCAGUUCAGUCAAAAACAUUUUUUUAAACUUUUUAAACAAACCUCACAAAUUUGCUACCUGAAAAUUCCAAAGGUCAGAAUAUAAAAUUAAAGUGUUAGCAGGGCUGUGUUCCUUCUUUCCUUCUGGAGGCUUCAGGGAAGAAUCCUUUCCUUCCUUUUCUUGCUCUGGAGACACCUUGGUUCCUGGUCCCAUGGCCUCUUCCUCCACCUUUAAAGUCAACAGAGUAGCAUCUUCAAAUUUCUUUUUCUAUGCAUCUAUCUUCAUAGCUCCUGCCACUGCCUCUGACUCUCCUGCUUCCUUCUUUCCCUCAUAAAGACCCUUGUGAUGAUUUUGGACCAUCAUGCACCACCCCCACCCUCACCCCCACACCUGGGUAAUACUGAAUAAUCUCUUGAUCUAAAUAUUCUUCAUUUAAUCCCAUCUACAAA